rnacentral:rRNA from 1 species
ACUCCUACGGGAGGCAGCAGUGGGGAAUUUUGGACAAUGGGCGAAAGCCUGAUCCAGCAAUGCCGCGUGCAGGAUGAAGGCCUUCGGGUUGUAAACUGCUUUUGUACGGAACGAAAAAGCUCCUUCUAAUACAGGGGGCCCAUGACGGUACCGUAAGAAUAAGCACCGGCUAACUACGUGCCAGCAGCCGCGGUAAUACGUAGGGUGCGAGCGUUAAUCGGAAUUACUGGGCGUAAAGCGUGCGCAGGCGGUUAUGUAAGACAGAUGUGAAAUCCCCGGGCUCAACCUGGGAACUGCAUUUGUGACUGCAUGGCUAGAGUACGGUAGAGGGGGAUGGAAUUCCGCGUGUAGCAGUGAAAUGCGUAGAUAUGCGGAGGAACACCGAUGGCGAAGGCAAUCCCCUGGACCUGUACUGACGCUCAUGCACGAAAGCGUGGGGAGCAAACAGGAUUAGAUACCCUUGUAGUCCC